rnacentral:rRNA from 1 species
AGUGAACGCUGGCGGUAGGCCUAACACAUGCAAGUCGAACGGCAGCACAGUAAGAGCUUGCUCUUACGGGUGGCGAGUGGCGGACGGGUGAGGAAUACAUCGGAAUCUACUUUUUCGUGGGGGAUAACGUAGGGAAACUUACGCUAAUACCGCAUACGACCUACGGGUGAAAGCAGGGGAUCUUCGGACCUUGCGCGAUUGAAUGAGCCGAUGUCGGAUUAGCUAGUUGGCGGGGUAAAGGCCCACCAAGGCGACGAUCCGUAGCUGGUCUGAGAGGAUGAUCAGCCACACUGGAACUGAGACACGGUCCAGACUCCUACGGGAGGCAGCAGUGGGGAAUAUUGGACAAUGGGCGCAAGCCUGAUCCAGCCAUACCGCGUGGGUGAAGAAGGCCUUCGGGUUGUAAAGCCCCUUUGUUGGGAAAGAAAAGCAGCAGGUUAAUACCCCACUGUUCUGACGGUACCCAAAGAAUAAGCACCGGCUAACUUCGUG